rnacentral:siRNA from 1 species
AUGUCUGUACCGUGUACUUGUGCC